rnacentral:rRNA from 1 species
AGCGAACGCUGGCGGCAGGCCUAACACAUGCAAGUCGAACGAUCCUUCGGGAUAGUGGCGGACGGGUGAGUAACACGUGGGAACGUGCCCUUUGGUUCGGAACAACUCAGGGAAACUUGAGCUAAUACCGAAUGUGCCCUUCGGGGGAAAGAUUUAUCGCCAUUGGAGCGGCCCGCGUCUGAUUAGCUAGUUGGUGAGGUAACGGCUCACCAAGGCGACGAUCAGUAGCUGGUCUGAGAGGAUGAUCAGCCACACUGGGACUGAGACACGGCCCAGACUCCUACGGGAGGCAGCAGUGGGGAAUCUUGCGCAAUGGGCGAAAGCCUGACGCAGCCAUGCCGCGUGAAUGAUGAAGGUCUUAGGAUUGUAAAAUUCUUUCACCGGGGACGAUAAUGACGGUACCCGGAGAAGAAGCCCCGGCUAACUUCGUGCCAGCAGCCGCAGUAACAC